rnacentral:rRNA from 1 species
UACGUAUGGUGCAAGCGUUAUCCGGAUUUACUGGGUGUAAAGGGCGUGUAGGCGGGGAAGCAAGUCAGAUGUGAAAACCACGGGCUCAACCUGUGGCCUGCAUUUGAAACUGUUUUUCUUGAGUACUGGAGAGGCAGACGGAAUUCCUAGUGUAGCGGUGAAAUGCGUAGAUAUACGGAGGAACACCAGUGGCGAAGGCGGCCUGCUGGACAAUAACUGACGCUGAGGCGCGAAAGCGUGGGGAGCAA